CCUACGGGAGGCAGCAGUGAGGAAUAUUGGUCAAUGGACGAGAGUCUGAACCAGCCAAGUAGCGUGAAGGAUGACUGCCCUAUGGGUUGUAAACUUCUUUUAUAUGGGAAUAAAAUGUUCCACGUGUGGGAUUUUGUAUGUACCAUAUGAAUAAGGAUCGGCUAACUCCGUGCCAGCAGCCGCGGUAAUACGGAGGAUCCGAGCGUUAUCCGGAUUUAUUGGGUUUAAAGGGAGCGUAGGGGGAUUGUUAAGUCAGUUGUGAAAGUUUGCGGCUCAACCGUAAAAUUGCAGUUGAAACUGGCAGUCUUGAGUACAGUAGAGGUGGGCGGAAUUCGUGGUGUAGCGGUGAAAUGCUUAGAUAUCACGAAGAACUCCGAUUGCGAAGGCAGUUCACUGGACUGCAACUGACGCUGAGGCUCGAAAGUGUGGGUAUCAAACAGGAUUAGAUACCCGUGUAGUC
rnacentral:rRNA from 1 species